rnacentral:rRNA from 1 species
AGAGUUUGAUCCUGGCUCAGGACGAACGCUGGCGGCGCGCCUAACACAUGCAAGUCGAACGGAGCUUAGAGAGCUUGCUUUUUAAGCUUAGUGGCGAACGGGUGAGUAACGCGUGAGUAACCUGCCCUAGAGUGGGGGACAACAGUUGGAAACGACUGCUAAUACCGCAUAAGCCCACGGUACCGCAUGGUACUGAGGGAAAAGGAUUUAUUCGCUUUAGGAUGGACUCGCGUCCAAUUAGCUAGUUGGUGAGGUAACGGCCCACCAAGGCGACGAUUGGUAGCCGGACUGAGAGGUUGAACGGCCACAUUGGGACUGAGACACGGCCCAGACUCCUACGGGAGGCAGCAGUGGGGGAUAUUGCACAAUGGGGGAAACCCUGAUGCAGCGACGCCGCGUGGAGGAAGAAGGUUUUCGGAUUGUAAACUCCUGUCGUUAGGGACGAUAAUGACGGUACCUAACAAGAAAGCACCGGCUAACUACGUGCCAGCAGCCGCGGUAAAACGUAGGGUGCAAGCGUUGUCCGGAAUUACUGGGUGUAAAGGGAGCGCAGGCGGGAAGACAAGUUGGAAGUGAAAUCUAUGGGCUCAACCCAUAAACUGCUUUCAAAACUGUUUUUCUUGAGUAGUGCAGAGGUAGGCGGAAUUCCCGGUGUAGCGGUGGAAUGCGUAGAUAUCGGGAGGAACACCAGUGGCGAAGGCGGUCUACUGGGCACCAACUGACGCUGAGGCUCGAAAGCAUGGGUAGCAAACAGGAUUAGAUACCCUGGUAGUCCAUGCCGUAAACGAUGAUUACUAGGUGUUGGAGGAUUGACCCCUUCAGUGCCGCAGUUAACACAAUAAGUAAUCCACCUGGGGAGUACGACCGCAAGGUUGAAACUCAAAGGA